rnacentral:rRNA from 1 species
GGGGGGGCCUGCGGGCUAUCAGCUUGUUGGUGGGGUAAUGGCUUACCAAGGCGAAGACGGCUAGGGGGCGUGAGAGCGCGACCCCCCACAAUGGAACUGAGACACGGUGCAUACUCCUACGGGAGGCAGCAGUGAGGAAUAUUGCGCAAUGGGGGCAACCCUGACGCAGCAACGCCGCGUGGACGAUGAAGGCCUUCGGGUUGUAAAGUCCUUUUCUGAAGGAAGAUAGUGACGGUACUUCAGGAAUAAGUCCCGGCUAACUACGUGCCAGCAGCCGCGGUAAAACGUAGGGGGCGAGCGUUAUCCGGAUUUACUGGGCGUAAAGCGCACGUAGGCGGCAUCGUAAGUUGGACGUGAAAGCUCCCGGCUCAACUGGGAGAGGUCGUUCAAAACUGUGGUGCUUGAGGUUGAUAGAGGAGAGUGGAAUUCCCGGUGUAGUGGUGGAAUGCGUAGAUAUCGGGAGGAACACCAGUGGCGAAGGCGGCUCUCUAGGUCACACCUGACGCUGAGGUGCGAAAGCGUGGGGAGCGAACGGGAUUAGAUACCCCGGUAGUCCACGCUGUAAACGAUGGAUACUAGGUGUGGGAGGUUAUUUACCCCUUCUGUGCCGUAGCUAACGCGUUAAGUAUCCCGCCUGGGGACUACGGCCGCAAGGUUAAAACUCAAAGGAAUUGACGGGGGCCCGCACAAGCAGCGGAGCGUGUGGUUUAAUUCGAUGAUACGCGAAGAACCUUACCUGGGCUUGACAUGGUGGUAGUAGUGAAGCGAAAGCGGAACGACCCUUCGGGGAGCCAUCACAGGUGCUGCAUGGCUGUCGUCAGCUCGUGUCGUGAGAUGUUGGGUUAAGUCCCGCAACGAGCGCAACCCUCGUCGCUAGUUAUAUGUGUCUAGUGAGACUGCCGGUAUCAAACCGGAGGAAGGUGGGGAUGACGUCAAGUCAGCAUGGUCUUUAUGUCCAGGGCUACACACACGCUACAAUGGCCGGUACAAUGGGUUGCCAUACCGCGAGGUGGAGCUAAUCCUCAAAGCCGGUCUCAGUUCGGAUUGCAGUCUGCAACUCGACUGCAUGAAGGUGGAGUUGCUAGUAACCGCGCGUCAGCAAU